ACGUGAAGAAGGUGAAGAUGGCGGUGGCCAGGGCCGGGGUCCUGGGAGUUCAGUGGCUGCAAAGGGCAUCCCGGAACGUGGUGCCGCUGGGCGCACGGACAGCCUCCCGCAUGACCAAGGACAUGUUCCCAGGGCCCUAUCCUAGGACCCCAGAAGAACGGGCCGACGCCGCCAAGAAGUAUAAUAUGCGUAUGGAAGACUACGAGCCUUACCCGGAUGAGGGCAUGGGGUAUGGCGACUACCCGAAGCUCCCUGACCGUUCACAGCAUGAGAGGGAUCCAUGGUAUAGCUGGGACCAACCGGACCUGAGGUUGAACUGGGGUGAACCGAUGCACUGGCACGUAGACAUGUACACCAGGAACCGUGUGGAUACAUCCCCCACACCUGUUUCUUGGAAUGUCAUGUGUAUGCACCUCUUCGGUUUCCUGGCUUUCAUGACAUUCAUGUUCUGGGUGGGGGACGUGUACCCUUCCUACCAGCCUGUGGGACCAAAGCAGUAUCCUUACAAUAAUCUGUACCUGGAACGAGGCGGCGAUCCCUCCAAAGAACCUGAGCCAGUGGUUCACUAUGAGAUCUGAGGAGGCUUCGUGGGCUUUUGUGUCCUCUUAACUAGGACUCCCUCAUUCCUAGAAAUUUAAUCUUAAUGAAAUCCCUAGUAAAACUCAGUGCUGUGGUAAAAAAAAAAAAAAAAAAAGAAAAAGAAAA